GCAUCGAUGAAGAACGCAGCAAAUGCGAUAAGUAAUGUGAAUUGCAGAAUUCAGUGAAUCAUCGAAUCUUUGAACGCACAUUGCGCCCGCCAGUAUUCUGGCGGGCAUGCCUGUUCGAGCGUCAUUU
rnacentral:rRNA from 1 species